rnacentral:ncRNA from 1 species
CUAACCUCUCCACGUCGCUGCAAAAUCAGCGACCGGGUUUAGCAGCUCGGUUA